UGGGAUGUGGCUCAAGUGGUAGCGCACUUGCUUGGCAAGCGUGAGGCACUGGGUUUGAUUCUCAGCACCACAU
rnacentral:tRNA from 1 species